rnacentral:rRNA from 1 species
UACGUAGGGGGCAAGCGUUGUCCGGAAUUACUGGGCGUAAAGCGCACGUAGGCGGACUAUUAAGUCAGGGGUGAAAUCCCGGGGCUCAACCCCGGAACUGCCUUUGAUACUGGUAGUCUCGAGUCCGGAAGAGGUGAGUGGAAUUCCGAGUGUAGAGGUGAAAUUCGUAGAUAUUCGGAGGAACACCAGUGGCGAAGGCGGCUCACUGGUCCGGUACUGACGCUGAGGUGCGAAAGCGUGGGGAGCAAACAGG